CGUGUGCAGCGGUGCCCUUCCAUCCUUCUGUUAACGUUUCUGAUAUUCAUUUAUUGGUCUCGGGCUCAGAUAUUUUACCUUGAGAAAAUUAGAGUGUUCCAGGCAGGCUUGCGCCGGAAUACAUUAGCAUGGAAUAAUAGAAUAGGACUUUAGUCUCCUUUGUUGGUUUGAGGGACUGAAGUAAUGAUUAAUAGGGAUAGUUGGGGGCAUUAGUAUUUAAUUGUCAGAGGUGAAAUUCUCGGAUUUGUUAAAGACUAACUUAUGCGAAAGCAUUUGCCAAGGAUGUUUUCUUUAAUCAAGAACGAAAGUUAGGGGAUCAAGGACGAUCAUAUACCGUCCUAGUCUUAACCAUAAACUAUGCCGACUAGGGAUAGGAGGCGCGCCUUAUCCGCGUUUGGCACCUUAUGAGAAAUCAAAGUCUUUGGGUUUUGGGGGGAGUAUGGUCGCAAGGCUGAAACUUAAAGGAAUUGACGGAAGGGCACCACCAGGAGUGGAGCGUGCGGCUCAAUUUGACUCAACACGGGAAAACUUACCAGGUCCAGACAUAGUGAGGAUUGACAGAUUGAUAGCUCUUUCUUGAUUUUAUGGGUGGUGGUGCAUGGCCGUUCUUAGUUGGUGGAGUGAUUUGUCUGGUUAAUUCCGUUAACGAACGAGACCUCAGCCUACUAACUAGUCGACUCGUUUUCGAGCGGGCACGACUUCUAGAGGGACUUUGU
rnacentral:rRNA from 1 species